AUGUUCUCUACAUCUCUACUUCUCCUGCUGGCAGCUGCUUCCUAUGUACAUGGCCAGGAACUGACUCAGCCUGCUGCCAUGACAGUCCAGCCAGGCCAGAGUCUCUCCAUCCCCUGUAAGGUUUCAUAUUCACUUACGAGCUGGAAUACAGCUUGGAUCCGACAACCUGCUGGAAAAGCUCUGGAGUGGAUUGGACUCAUCUGGAGUAAUGGGGUUACAGCUUACAGUGACAAACUGAAAAAUAAGAUCAGCAUCUCCAGAGACACUUCUACUAACACAAUAACAAUUCAAGGACAGAAUCUGCAAACUGAAGACACAGCUGUGUAUUACUGCGCAAGAGGGUCACAGUGA